UGCUGGUCACUGGCCCAGUUCAGGGUAGUGGGUCAUGCUUUUGGAGGUGCUGAAAGUAGUCCAGGAGUAUGGACACUUCCACUUGAGAAAGCUGGGAAGGAAAAUACUGCAUUUCCCAGAAACUGUGGCUGGGAAAGAAACCUGAAGUCGUGAGUCUGGUGGAGCCCUGCGUGUUUCCAAACGCCCUGCUCUGAGUUCAUCCCACCAGUAAGGCUGUGCAGCGUGAAAACUGCUGUUGCAAAACUACCAGAUUCAACCUCCUGGGGAGCCUUUCUGGCCAAGGUUUUACAAGCCAGCACCUGCUUUGCCUGCCUGACUCUUUCUAUAUUUAUUCCUCUGCACCUGGUUUUUGCCUUUGCCUGUGGAACUGUCACAAACAUUUGUGCUGGCUUUUGACUGCACAGGACUUCAGCUUGCAAGUCCUAAAUCUGCCUUUGUGCAUGGUGGAGGAGCAGGCGUUUUUGUGCAUGGCUGUGCCAUCUGUGUGUCUGAGC
rnacentral:lncRNA from 1 species